rnacentral:tRNA from 1 species
UGGCUAUGUAGCUCAGUUGGUUAGAGCAUAGCAUUCAUAAUGCUAGGGUCGGUGGUUCGAGCCCACCCAUAGCCACCAC